CACAUUCGGAGGCGCUUCGGCGCUCCUUAUACACCCCACCCUCUGCCCUACGUGUACCCUCUAUAGCUUCCUCGGCGGGCUCGCCCGCCGCCAGGAACCCACGAAACCCCUUGCAUUAUACGCGAAAACUUCUGAUAACAAACCUAAAUUAUCA
rnacentral:misc_RNA from 1 species